UUUUUUUUUUUUUUUUUUUUUUUUUUUUUAAGCAGGAUGAACCUCGAUUCCUCUUUUCCACUUAUGAUGAACCCCAACAUCUUACCGGAUCGCACUCUGAUAGUGCACUUGCUUGAAUUCAACCUCAGUUUGAAUUGUCUUAACUGGUUAACCGACUUGCCCCGGUCUGCCAGAUGCCCCUCUCUUGUCUGGGACUUUGCUAUCAAGUCAUAGCAUAGCAUUCAAUUUCAUGAUAAAUCAUAUCAUGAAACAAAGUCACCAUGGCUCUCUGAUACAGGCACUGGCGUUCUGCUUCUUUAGAGGACGGUCUUCUCUCCAUGGUAGCUUGUGUACAACGACAUCGGUGUUCAACCCUGGCAUAUUCUGACAUGACCAGGCGAAAGUAUCCACAUACUCCUUCAACAAGGCUACCAUUCUGCUCUCGACUUGCCUCUGAAGCGGCCUCAUUUUCACUUCCUUUCUGACCUCGGUGCUUAGAAUAACAAUC
rnacentral:lncRNA from 1 species